rnacentral:rRNA from 1 species
AAAUUGAAGAGUUUGAUCAUGGCUCAGAUUGAACGCUGGCGGCAGGCCUAACACAUGCAAGUCGAACGGUAACAGGAAGCAGCUUGCUGCUUUGCUGACGAGUGGCGGACGGGUGAGUAAUGUCUGGGAAACUGCCUGAUGGAGGGGGAUAACUACUGGAAACGGUGGCUAAUACCGCAUAACGUCGCAAGACCAAAGAGGGGGACCUUCGGGCCUCUUGCCAUCAGAUGUGCCCAGAUGGGAUUAGCUAGUUGGUGAGGUAACGGCUCACCAAGGCGACGAUCCCUAGCUGGUCUGAGAGGAUGACCAGCCACACUGGAACUGAGACACGGUCCAGACUCCUACGGGAGGCAGCAGUGGGGAAUAUUGCACAAUGGGCGCAAGCCUGAUGCAGCCAUGCCGCGUGUAUGAAGAAGGCC